rnacentral:rRNA from 1 species
GGAUUAGGCAUGCAAGUCGAACGAGAAAGGUUCCUUCGGGGACCGAGUAGAGUGGCGAAAGGGUGAGUAAUGCACAGGCAACUUACCCCCGAGAUGGGAAUAACCUCUCGAAAGGGGGGCUAAUGCCCAAUGGUACCGUGGAUCGCAUGUUCUACGGUUAAAGAUAGCUUCGGCCUUCGCUCGGGGAGAGGCCUAUGUCCUAUUAGCUUGUUGGUGGGGUAACGGCCCACCAAGGCGACGAUGGGUAGCCGACCUGAGAGGGUGACCGGCCACACUGAGACUGAGACACUGCCCAGACUCCUACGGGAGGCUGCAGUCGAGAAUCUUCCGCAAUGCGCGCAAGCGUGACGGAGCGACGCCGCGUGAGGGAUGAAGGCCUUCGGGUUGUAAACCUCUGUCACCUGGAAAGAGAACUGUGCGGUUAAUAGCUGUCGCAGUUGACGUUACCAGGAGAGGAAGCACCGGCUAAAUACGUGCCAGCAGCCGCGGUAAUACGUAUGGUGCAAACGUUGUUCGGAAUCACUGGGCUUAAAGAGCACGUAGGCGGUUGAGAAAGUCUGAUGUGAAAUCCCUCGGCUUAACCGAGGAAUUGCAUUGGAAACUUCUCGGCUAGAGUACAGGAGGGGAGAGUGGAAUUCCUGGUGGAGCGGUGAAAUGCGUAGAUAUCAGGAGGAACGCCGGAGGCGAAAGCGACUCUCUGGCCUGUUACUGACGCUGAGGUGCGAAAGCUAGGGGAGCGAACGGGAUUAGAUACCCCGGUAGUCCUAGCCCUAAACGAUGGGCACUAAGUAGAGGGGUUUU